rnacentral:rRNA from 1 species
AUUGAACGCUGGCGGCAGGCCUAACACAUGCAAGUCGAGCGGAUGAAGGGAGCUUGCUCCUGGAUUCAGCGGCGGACGGGUGAGUAAUGCCUAGGAAUCUGCCUGGUAGUGGGGGAUAACGUCCGGAAACGGGCGCUAAUACCGCAUACGUCCUGAGGGAGAAAGUGGGGGAUCUUCGGACCUCACGCUAUCAGAUGAGCCUAGGUCGGAUUAGCUAGUUGGUGGGGUAAAGGCCUACCAAGGCGACGAUCCGUAACUGGUCUGAGAGGAUGAUCAGUCACACUGGAACUGAGACGCGGUCCAGACUGCUAAGAGAGGCAGCGGUGGGGAAUAUUGGACGAUGGGCGAAAGCCUGAUCCAGCCAUGCCGCGUGUGUGAAGAAGGUCAUCGGAUUGUAAAGCACUUCUAGUUGGGAGGAAGGGCAGUAAGUUAAUACCUUGCUGUUUUGACGUUACCAACAGAAUAAGCACAGGCUAACUACGUG